UGGGGAAUAUUGCACAAUGGGCGCAAGCCUGAUGCAGCCAUGCCGCGUGUAUGAAGAAGGCCUUCGGGUUGUAAAGUACUUUCAGUCGGGAGGAAGGUGUCAAGGUUAAUAACCUUGGCAAUUGACGUUACCGACAGAAGAAGCACCGGCUAACUCCGUGCCAGCAGCCGCGGUAAUACGGAGGGUGCAAGCGUAAAUCGGAAUUACUGGGCGUAAAGCGCACGCAGGCGGUUGAUUGAGUCAGAUGUGAAAUCCCCGGGCUUAACCCGGGAAUUGCAUCUGAUACUGGUCAGCUAGAGUCUUGUAGAGGGGGGUAGAAUGCCAUGUGUAGCGGUGAAAUGCGUAGAGAUGUGGAGGAAUACCGGUGGCGAAGGCGGCCCCCUGGACAAAGACUGACGCUCAGGUGCGAAAGCGUGGGGAGCAAACAGG
rnacentral:rRNA from 1 species